rnacentral:sRNA from 1 species
UCACGAAGUGCGUUUCUUUCCAUGGUC